rnacentral:tRNA from 1 species
GCCUCGGUAGCUUAACAUAAAGCAUUGGUCUUGUAAGCCAAAGACUGCAAAUUAACCUCUGCCCAAGGCU